GCCUGUGUGGCGGAAUUGGUAGACGCGCUGGACUCAAAAUCCAGUGGUAGCGAUAUCGUGUGGGUUCGAGUCCCACCACAGGCACCA
rnacentral:tRNA from 1 species